rnacentral:rRNA from 1 species
UACGUGGGGGGCCAGCGUUGCUCGGAAUUACUGGGUGUAAAGGGUUCGUAGGCGGUGUAGCAAGUCGGGAGUGAAAUCUCUGGGCUCAACCCAGAGGCUGCUUCCAAAACUGCCGUGCUUGAGUGUGGGAGAGGCGCGUGGAAUUGCAGGUGUAGCGGGGAAAUGCGUAGAUAUCGGGAGGAACAACUGUGGCGAAAGCGGCGCACUGGACCACAUCUGACGCUGAGGCGCGAAAGCUAGGGGAGCAAACAGG